CCUACGGGAGGCAGCAGUGAGGAAUAUUGGUCAAUGGACGAGAGUCUGAACCAGCCAAGUAGCGUGAAGGAUGACUGCCCUAUGGGUUGUAAACUUCUUUUAUAUGGGAAUAAAAUGUUCCACGUGUGGGAUUUUGUAUGUACCAUAUGAAUAAGGAUCGGCUAACUCCGUGCCAGCAGCCGCGGUAAUAUGGAGGAUCCGAGCGUUAUCCGGAUUUAUUGGGUUUAAAGGGAGCGUAGGUGGAUUGUUAAGUCAGUUGUGAAAGUUUGCGGCUCAACCGUAAAAUUGCAGUUGAAACUGGCAGUCUUGAGUACAGUAGAGGUGGGCGGAAUUCGUGGUGUAGUGGUGAAAUGCUUAGAUAUCACGAAGAACUCCGAUUGCGAAGGCAGUUCACUGGACUGCAACUGACACUGAGGCUCGAAAGUGUGGGUAUCAAACAGGAUUAGAUACCCGAGUAGUC
rnacentral:rRNA from 1 species